rnacentral:rRNA from 1 species
CUACGGGCGGCACCAGUGAGGAAUAUUGCGCAAUGGGGGAAACCCUGACGCAGCGACGCCGCGUGGAUGAUGAAGGCCUUCGGGUCGUAAAAUCCUGUCAGAAGGAAAGAAGUGUAUGGUAGCUAAUAUCUGCCAUACUUGACGGUACCUUCAAAGGAAGCACCGGCUAACUCCGUGCCAGCAGCCGCGGUAAUACGGAGGGUGCAAGCGUUGUUCGGAAUUACUGGGCGUAAAGCGCGCGUAGGCGGUUUUAUAAGUCAGAUGUGAAAGUCCACGGCUCAACCAUGGAAGUGCAUUUGAAACUGUAAGACUUGAUUAUUGGAGGGGGUAGUGGAAUUCCCGGUGUAGAGGUGAAAUUCGUAGAUAUCGGGAGGAAUACCGGUGGCGAAGGCGACUAUCUGGCCAAAUACUGACGCUGAGGUGCGAAAGCGUGGGGAGCAAACAGGAUUAGAUACCCUCGUAGUC